rnacentral:rRNA from 1 species
UACGGGGGGGGCUAGCGUUGCUCGGAAUGACUGGGCGUAAAGGGCGCGUAGGCGGUUUGUACAGUCAGGUGUGAAAUUCCCGGGCUCAACCUGGGGGCUGCACUUGAUACGUAGGAACUGGAGUGGGGAAGAGGGUCGUGGAAUUCCCAGUGUAGAGGUGAAAUUCGUAGAUAUUGGGAAGAACACCGGUGGCGAAGGCGGCGACCUGGUCCUUGACUGACGCUGAGGCGCGAAAGCGUGGGGAGCAAACAGG